rnacentral:ribozyme from 1 species
CUGGCUCGACGCUUGUUGCCUUUUCGUGGCGAACCAGAUAAGUAACUUCGGACUUACCACCCCGAGUGAAACUAAAAACAAG